AGAGUAAGGUAACAUUUAUUUACAAACAGUAUUGUUGAAUAUUCCAUAUGUAACUGAAGUUGCUAUUUUUACAAUUCUAUUCAUUAUGAAAUUAAGGGCACCUCUGUGUUUAGUAGAUUUCCUCUGUUUCUAAGUAUAGUCAGAAGUUUAGCAGGUGAAUGGGAACAACUCCUUGAUAAAUCUUUAAUGUCUGAUCAGGAGGAGGAAGGAAAGCGUCCCAUCUCAUCCAAGGGAAUGAAGUAACUGAAUUUUAUAACAAAUAAAAAUACCUUAGUUUUUUAAAAUAUUAAAUAUGUACUAUGUUCCAGUGUGAACUCAAUGGCCACAAGUUUACCAGUUGCAAUUAAUUAAAAUUAUUGGUUGAUUAAUAUAUCGAGGACUGUAGUGUCUUCAAAAAAAUUUCUUCGUCUUUGCUUCUUUACUAUCACACUUGUCCAAUAAAGAAUUCUAUCCUAUCUAUCUUUAUUUUCCAUUUUAUAUUAAACAGAAGCUGCCUCUUCAAAAAUAAAAGUACGCUAUUUGCUCAGUGGUAAAGAAGUUUAGAGAGAUUUGCAGAACUAAUAAAUUAGUAUAAGACCAAAUGCUUUAGUAGUAUUGUAUUUUUGAAACUGAAUUUUAUAUAUUUUAUUAAGAAGAAAUAACUAUGGCCUGGUUGACAAAAGAACCUGAGUCUAAACUGUAUUGCAAAAAUGAUGGCUCAGGUGAUUGAAAGUGUCUCCAUAUAAAAGAGUUCUUCACACAGAAAUUGGAUGCCUGAAAGAAAUGUUUUACUUUAGCUUGUUUUAUAGUAUAAAAUAUUUUAGCUGAAGGAAAUAGUUUCUAUUCAGAAGGGUUCUGAAUAUUCAUGCCAUAUAUAAUGCUGCCAAAGUAUACUACCUCAGUCAAAACUAGGCUACAUAGAAUAUAUUUCUUUAAACAUUUUUUGAAUGUUAGGUACAGUUACAGUAAUAAUCAGAACUGUAUAUAAAUUUUAAUGUAUUGACAUUGUUGCUAUUCAAUAUUUAAUGUGUUUUGUUCAUAUUUGUCAUUUCUGUCAUAAUAUACCGAAUUUGUGCUUUCUCUCUCUCUCCCUUUCAACUUGAUACUAAUAUUAUCCUUUUUUUAUUAAAUUGUUGCCCCUGGUGUCAUCUAAAGAACAACUAAGCCUACCCCUCAUCUUGAUGGAUAUCAUGUUGUUUUUGGACAAGUAAUUUCGGGGCAAGAAGUUGUAAGAGAAAUAGAAAAUCAGAAGACCGAUGCAUCCAGUAAACCGUAUGCAGAAGUGCGAAUAAUGAGUUGUGGAGAACUAAUU